rnacentral:rRNA from 1 species
AACGUAGGAGACGAACGUUAUCCGGAGUUACUGGGCGUAAAGGGCGUGCAGGCGGUCUGAUAAGUUCGGCGUGAAAUAUUCCGGCUUAACCGGGAUAGGUCGUCGGAGACUGUCGGACUAGAGGGUGAUAGAGGCGUGUGGAAUUCCGGGUGUAGUGGUGAAAUGCGUAGAUAUCGAGAGGAACACCAGUGGCGAAGGCGAGUCUCUGGACGACUCCUGACACUGAGGCACGAAAGCCAGGGGAGCAAACAGG